GGGGUCGUGGCUCAGUGGAAGAGCGCUCACCUAGCACAUGGGAGGCUCUGGGUUCAAGCCUCAGCACCACA
rnacentral:tRNA from 1 species